CAUCAGUCGGCCUGGCAGUGGCCCACAAACUGCCAUUGUAUGAGCACUUGGCAGCAUCAAUGAGAUCGUUAGUACUUUCAUGGAUGCAAGUUUUAAAACAAUCUGCAACCAGGCUUCUACAGAAUAGAGUCGGGAUUUGAGUCUACAGCCUUACUGUGAGAGCCUAUGUGGACUCUGGCUCCAAGAAAAUCUGCUUGUGCUCACAGGAGAAAGACCCAAGUAUUUACAGAGGGGGAGGGGAAGGAAGCGGUCUGAGAA